GGCAUUUGUUGGCAGCCAGAAGUACCAGCAGGAAAGAAGGGAGUCUUGGGUGUGGAAAGAUUUCUCAGCAGUAGCUGGGAUGUCACUAAAGUCUUGACUUCAGGUUCAGCUGACCAUGAGCAGCCAAGUCACCUCUUCAGCCAUCCCUUCUUCUCCUGUCACUCUGCAGAAAUGAUGGAAACCCCACUGUCUUGUUAAUCCUGACCUGAGUCAAUUCUGCCUAGAACUUGCCUGAAUCUCAACCUGGGAUGCGUCACCUCCAAGGCGUUGAUCUCGCGAGAUCAAGUGUGUGUGGACUAGAAAAGAUGGCGGAUGGGAAGAAAGAGGCA
rnacentral:lncRNA from 1 species